AGUUCAUUACCACUUGAUGACAAACCAGCAGAAGUCAUUGAACCAGUGUAUUUCUCUGCGGACGAACAUGGGAAAGAGAGCUAUUUAAAUGCGGAAAAUCUCAGUGAUUACAAAGAUGAGGAUGAGAUAACUUACGCCAUACUGAACACUAAUGCCUUAAAAAAGAAGAAUGUUUCACAAGAUGUGCCUGUUGAAGAUGUCAGCGUGUAUGCAUUAGUCAAAACAGGAACUAACAAUUGAUCAAACGGUUCUAUUGUAUUUUUGUGUUUUUGUAGAAUGUCGGGUAAAUUGCUAAACUGUUCUGUAAAUAAAAAGAAGAAGAAGCAGAUGAUUGUGUAUUUUAU